GCUUCAUGGAGGCUGGCAUGUGGUACAUUAUUUCCUGUGUGUGUAUGACUUAUUCAGAGGGAGAACAGAACACUAAUAUGGAUUGCAGGAAUGACUUUUAGGAUGUUUUUAUAUGAACUAAGGUGGAUUGGACGCUGGCCUAGGAAGGCAUUCCCCUGAAGGUCUUCUUCAUGUGUCAGCUGGAAGUACCCUGACUGCUGUGACGGGAAACUGAUGAGAUUACCUCGAUGAAGAACAUCUUCCUCAUGAGCAGGAGGAGGAACCACAGUCCCCCCACAUACAUGAGGAAGAAGAUGUACCACAUUCCCAUCACGUAAAAGUGGGAGGGGAGGGGCCACAGCUCCCCCACAUUAAAGAGGAAGACGAGACAAACUGACCCUUCACAUUAAAGGGCAAGCGGAAGAAUCACUGAACUUACACAUCAAAAAUGAAGAGGAGGACCCACUGACCCCUCACUUUAAGGAGCAAGAGAACCCACUGACCCCUCACUUUAGAGAGGAAAAGGAGGACGCACUGAACCCCUACUUUAAAGAGGAAGAGGAGGACCAAGAGCUGUUGCACAUUAAAGAGGAAGAGGAGGAACACAGCAUCAGUCAGCCUAAAUGUUUGGUGGAGUUCCCAGUGACUGGUGUCCCUGUGAAGAGUGAAGAUGAUGAGGUCAAAGGUGAAAGUGAGGAGAGGGGAGAGGUGGAGCCUCCAAGCAGCAGCUCAACACAACACAUGACAACAGAAGCUGAUGGAGACCACUGUGGAGGAUCACAAGCAGACAAGCUCUUAGCUCCACUAUCAGAUAGUGAGGACACAACGUCACACUCUCCUGACACUGAUGAUGAAGACUCUAAAGAUGAUAAGACAUGUCACACUGACAACACUCACUUCAAGUGUUCUCACUGUGACAAAACCUUCAAAUACCAUUGUCGUCUGAAAAGACACAUGAGAAUACACACCAGAGAAAAAGCUUUUAUCUGCUCAGUAUGUGACAAAGGUUUUGGACUACGUCAAAAUUUGAUAAGACACAUGAGAAUACACACCGGAGAAAAACCUUUCAUCUGUUCAAUAUGUGGUAAGUGUUUUACAGUAAGUCAGAAAUUGAAAAGACACAUGAGAACACACACUGGAGAAAAACUUUUUUCCUGUUCAACCUGUGGUAAAGGUUUUAAAGAAAGUCACAGUUUGAAAAGACACAUGAACACACACACUGGUGAAAAUUCACAUUCCUGUUCAAUCUGCAACAAAAGCUUUUGUGACCGAUCAAACCUUGUAGCACACAUGAGAAGACACCCAGGAGAGAAAGUGUUGAGUUGCAGUGUGUGUGGUGAAGGAUUCUCUUCUAAGUACCAGUGUAAGAAACACAAGUGUGCUGGUGAGAACAGCAGCAGCAAAUGAAACUGCAGGAUUUGAAAUAAACUGUCAAAACUUUAAUUUUGACUUUUUAACAACAUCAGCAAAUAUAAUGUGUGUGACAUUGUUGUUUGUGUAACAAUCUUUUUAAUAUGCUUCUAAAUAUAUUAUUGCUUUUUUCAGUCAAGUACGUGCAUUAGUAUGCAAUCAAAGUUCAGUGUCAGGCAAAAGCCAAUAUUGUACAUCAUCUCACAGAGGUUUACUUUGUAUACAUUCAUAAAAUAAACUGUUUUUUUUUUUUCCCUAUCACAGAACGAAAAAGUGUUGUCUUCAAUUGCAAAACAUCCUAAAAAUAAAUUUUAGUAGUCAAUUCCGUCUUUUUUUUAUUAAAUGA